AACGAACGCUGGCGGCAUGCCUAACACAUGCAAGUCGAACGAGACCUUCGGGUCUAGUGGCGCACGGGUGCGUAACGCGUGGGAACCUGCCCUUAGGGUCGGAAUAACUCCCCGAAAGGGGUGCUAAUACCGGAUAAUGUCUUCGGACCAAAGAUUUAUCGCCUUUGGAUGGGCCCGCGUUGGAUUAGCUAGUUGGUAGGGUAAAAGACUACCAAGGCGACGAUCCAUAGCUGGUCUGAGAGGAUGAUCAGCCACACUGGGACUGAGACACGGCCCAGACGCCUACGGGAGGAAGCAGUGGGGAAUAUUGGACAAUGGGCGAAAGCCUGAUCCAGCAAUGCCGCGUGAGUGAUGAAGGCCUUAGGGUUGUAAAGCUCUUUUACCCGGGAUGAUAAUGACAGUACCGGGAGAAUAAGCUCCGGCUAACUCCGUG
rnacentral:rRNA from 1 species